rnacentral:lncRNA from 1 species
UGGGGGCUCCCUGACCCCCAUGAUGGGCCGACCCCCUCACAACAGCAAGACCCUGCCCCCAGCUCACCUGGUAGGAGGGGCCGCCGUGCGCCGAGCCGCACUCCUUCGGGUGCCGGCACCUGGCCCCUGCCCACAGGUGCGCGUUAUCGUUGGCGCAGCCCUCGGAGCAGGCAGGGCGGCCGCGGGGACGCAGAGCUGCACCCGGCGCGGGUCCAAGCGUUGCUGGUAGCUGCUGUGCUUAGGACACGUGGCGGCUAUGCAGGGAGGAGAAAAAGCGCGGGUGGACCUGGGUCCCAUUAACCUGGACAGACACCUCCAAGAUGAGCAUGAGGGGGCUGCUGGAUCUGUUCUCCUUUCACAGCUGUAUCCUGAAGAAUGGCAGUGAGCCGGAAGAGCCACAGGAUUCGGCAAAGACGGACACACAGAGCCCAGCUCACGGCAAACCUCAAUGGAUAUUUGUUGGAAGAAUUAAUGAAUGUGUCGAAGCCUUUUCUAUAGCACAUAUUUGUUCAACUUUGGCAUCCACUACAUGCCGGGAACAUCCCAGGGCCUGGGGACACAGCAAUGACCAAGACAGAGAUCCCUGACCUCAUAAAACAGAUGUUCUAGGGCAGACGUUGACAAGCUUCACCCUUGGGCCCAAAUCUGGCCCUCCACCUGUUUUGGCACAGCCUACAAUCUAAAUAGUCUUUACAUGUUUAAGUGGUUAGAAAAAAAGAAACCAAAAGAGGAAAUUUUGUGAGGUGUGAAAAUCAUGUAAAAUUCAAAUUCCGGUGUCUAUAAAUAAUGUCUUCAUGAAAGCCA